UGUUCAAAUGUCCCACGAAAGAUUGCAUCGAAGGUUGAUAAUCGAAUUUUUCGAUUAUUAAAUUGGAAGACAAAUGCGCCCCGACCAUGUUUUGAGUAUUUGAUGGAUGCUAUGUUCAAUGACAAUGGCAAGGUUGUAUUUAAGAACAUAUAGCCAACUCAAACAGAAUUGGCAAAGUUUCAAAUACCACAGAAGGAUGUAAUUGAAGAUGAACGUUCAGUUGAUUCGGAUGAUGACUUCCAGGAUACACCACCACAACAGAUCAAUUAACAUCCAAAAAAGAAACAAAAGGUUGAUUCAUCAACCCAUGCAGUGAAGAAACCAUCAAUAAAAAAGUCAGUCAAUAUUGUAGACGAGCAUACCCAAAAGAGGACACCAGCUCCUCGCGCUGCAAAGGUUGUUGGUAUGAAGAUGCCAGUUUUUAAGCCAAUUCAAACACGACAUGCAACUUCUUCAAAAACGAAGAAAGUGAAGCAAAAGCAAGGGCUAUUUUUCCUCAGGUACAGUCAAAACCAGAGAGUCUUGUAGAAAUAGAAGCCCUGUCAAAGCCAGAUAGUCUUGUAAAAAAGAAACCUUCAUUUCUAAGAAUAUUUUUGAUGCAUUCUACGA